UAAAUCAUAACUAUGAAUGAAGUUAAUAUGGACAAGCAUCAAAAAUAGAUUAAUCACAGUUAGCAUUUGCCUGGAACAUGUUACUAACAUUUUCAAUCACCGUUGUUACUACUUAUGGUAGUUUUAUGGUUCGAAGUUUUAAUCUAACAAAUGCUAUUUUGCGUUGUGUCCUUGCGCGUUUUUAUUGCUGUAAAGUUAAGUCCACACGAAAAUUACUUACUUAGAAUGUUGUUUCAAAACAGAAAAAAUUAAACGUACCUAAAUUCUAAUCGUUUUUACUUGACAAUCGCAGUAGGGUGUUAUCUCAAUAAAUUUAUAUAGGUAAACAUAAGAAACACUAAAAAUUGUCUUUUUCAGGGAUAGGACGUCUAGGACGUAGGAGGAUACAUCCUAUCAUCUUCCAGUUAUCCAUGAUGACGAUCUGAAACUUACUGCACGUUUAGUUUAGACGUUCUUUGCCAGUCAAUCGGUGUCGGUUCUAGACUGGCCAGCAAAUAGCCCAGACCUCAAACCGAUAGAAUCUGUGUACCUUUGUGAUGAAAACUAUACUGGUAGCACUAUGUGAUCAAAACCUAAAGCUAUUCUCUUGCGUUUACUUGUGAGCGGCGGAGCGUCGAAUCAGAAAUGCUCAGCAUUAUAUUUCUCAUUGUAACCACCGGGAUAGUUUUAGAUAGUGCAGAUGCGGCAAAUAUAUGUUUUGACGCCAAAAUCUGUAUCCAUAAUGCUGUUGAAAAGUGCGGCAUAGAUGCCACAAAAGGAGUGCGACGGUUUCUCGACACAUGCGAUAUCACCGAAUACAACUGCCAACACAAAACUGAUUACCGGAAAACCGACAUGGACAAAUGCAAGGAUUUACCUCCAAUUUUUCCAGACUAACCAUUACCUCUUGACUGUAUAGAAAUAUAAUGCUUCAUAUAAAUACGUAUUUUCUUCUAUUAAAAAAUGAAAUGAAACUUUAGAUCGCCAUUUACCAUAUCCAAAAGCCUAGUACGGAACGGUCUAUCAUGCACGACUACUGGUGCUACCGAGCGAAAUAUUGCCGCCCCAGUCACAAAACCGUGUGCGCAAGAGACGCACGCUCGAAGCACGCCAAGUGGUUCCCCGACGAGUGCGCAGUAUUCAACUAUAACUGCAAAUCUAUAACUGAUUACACAGUAUCUAGUGAUAAACCGUGUAAAAUGGCCGAUCUGACCACGACAACGAUGUCUACGAGUACAACAACAACACGCAGAACGACACGUAGAAUAAAAAGAAUCAAACUUCCAAUCUUUAAAUUUUAGCAAGGAAAUGGGUGGACCUUAGCUCCCAUCUCGGUAUAAGAUGGAUAUGGAUGUAUGGAAGAAUUUCACAUUUAACUUUAGGUAAUGUUUAAAUUAUAAUUAGCUGUCUGUCAUGCUGGCUGCAUAAUGCUUCAGUAAAUUACUUUUUGGCAAAUCUAAACCGUUUUGAUACCCAAACCUAGGGAACUGUUGUAAUUUAGUAGGUAUCAAUAAACCUUUCACAAUUUGCACCUAUUUUAUUAGAAUAAAUAAGCUAACAAUAGGUACAACCUAAUAAUAACUAAAUAGACAGCUUCCUUAGUCCAUUCUAUUGUUCAUAAGCAAGAUAACACAAUUUUUGCAAGCCUUCCAUGCAACUGGUUUGGUGUGGAUAUCUCAUUGAAUUUUAACAUUAAACGAUUGAGGCGUGUUAUUGUGUUUUAUUUAAUGUCCGAGACUAAAAUUUACUUUCACUUGUAGUCGAAGGUGCAGCUCAUAAAAUACGGCGUUGCGUGAACAAAAGAUUUCCUUUGGCAGGAUUGGUCCUUAGGACCCAAGGAUGGAUUUUGAAGUGGAGCCACCAAGUUUGAUGUCAAAUUUUAAGGGGACUCUCAAUUUUAUCUUGAUAUAUAUAUAUGUAUAAUUUAAGCUACCAAGCCAAGUUUGGUAUCGUUUUUGUAAAACUAGAGGAUGCCGAAUUCAUUUAUGGUAUCAUAUUGACACCAUUCCGAAGUAAAAACAUAUAAAAUAUGACAAAAACUGUUUUAACUCCUCUUCACGCUAAAAUCGCUAAACAAAGUCAGUUAAAAUUUGAUAUAGAGAUAGUUAAAGUCCUGGGAACGAAUUUAUGAUAGUUUUUAUCCCAAAAAACCCCUUAAAACUGAAAACGUAGGUGUAGAUUUGUAUGGGGAAUUAAUUACUACCCAACCCCCCACCAGCAUCAAAAAUCUGGGUGGCUCCACUUCUUAAAUUUAUCUUAGGAACACAAAGAUUAAUUCUGACAAAGUAAAUCUUUUGUUCAGACGACGCAGUAUUUGACCUUUUUAUUGUUUUCUGCACCUUUGACUAUUGUGUGUCAAUUCUAGUUUCAUGCGUGUUAGGUCCCACAUAAAAAUUUGUUGUUACGUAAAUCAGAAAAAUAAUUACUAUGAUCACCCAAAAUUAUGUAAUGGGAUGCAUAAUUUGUGUGAUAUAUUCCACGCAAUAUAUACAAGCAUCUGUCAGGAGGACGGCAGAAGAGAGAGUAUCUAACUACAAUUGCUUUCGACUCAAUUCGUGUGACUCUCACGGGCAACCGGUGUGUGGCUACGAUGAAGAAGACGCGACCAUUGCAAAGUUUGAGAACGAGUGUGCACUAUUCAAGGUCAACUGUGAAGAGAGAGGAGAAAGAUGUAAGUUACAGAGCUAUAACCGCGAAAAUCGAAGUUCGUCAAUUGCGGGCAUUUUCCUCUGUCACUCUAAUUACGUCUUCGUGAGAGUAAAAGGGAAAGAUCCCAAGAAAGAUUUUCGCGGUAGGCCCCCAGGAGUAUAAACCAUCGCACUGCAGAAAAGAGAUAGUCGCUAUAUAUAUCUAAGGCCCCGUGGGUGCAGGUUCUUCUCUCAGAGGAUGAGAGACUCACCCUCACCGAUCGUAAGCGUGAGCGAGAUGGCUGUGCUUGCCCGGGAUCACGGAUAUUAUGUUUGGGCAUUUAAUUUUUUUGUAAGUUUUAAUUAAAAAAAAGUAAUCGAUGACUUCGAUCAAAAAUAAAAUUACAAUUUUUGGGAAAAAAAAUGUAAUCUUAGCUUUUGUGCAAAUCGUUACAAUGUUUAAAGGUGCAUUUUAGACCUAAACCUAAGUCCCAUAAAAAUGAAAAAUCCAAAACUUGCUAAUGACAUUUGAACCUACAUAUAGUGAAGGAAACAGAGUUGGUUUUGUUUGAAAAUUGAACGAUACAAAAAAUGCAACUCUGUUUCAAUUUAAAAUGAUUUAAAUUUUAUCUUAACGAGUAAGUACUACUCGUAUCGGUUCCCUUGAGCCUCAGGAGGCUAUGUUCGUGUCAUGAAACCACCCGCACUCAAAGUGCACCCCAACCCAACGCAAUGUGUUCGUUUAGUAUCCAAAUUAUUUAAAUAAAAAACGUCUAAGCUCAAUUUCUUAACCGAGCAUAAUAACGAAUAAACAUAUUGUCUCUGGUUCUAUAAAUAAAAGUCAAACAAAUGAUUCGUUAAGUAUCUGUAUUUUAGGGCAGGUACAUAUUGCUGUAGAAUAUAUACCUAUAAAAAAUUAGUCACGCAAUAUUGAAACAAGUCGGCGAACUGAAGCUGCUAACUCAUUUUAUAUUAAUAUGCUUGGAUGGUUAUUUAUUUCAGUAUUUAAAAUAGUCGAUGAUAGUAUCUGCGAGAAGAAAGUAGUCCCGGUGACUACAAUUCCAACAACCAUUACCUCUCCCACCAUCGAUUACUACUACGAUCUUCGCCCGGACACUGAGCCAGACACCAGCACGCACUACUGGCAAGAUUCUUUCAUGCUGGGUCAACGUGUCACGCCAGGAUAUGACGAGGAAAGGGUAGUGCUCAGAGACAAAACAGAAAAAUAUUAUUUUCCAGAUUUGAUGACUUUAGUUAUGCGUCAAUAAUGUUAAUGAAUAAAUAUUAUCCAUUAUAAUGUUAUAAGGGUGCAUUUUUGAAAUGUAAUUUUGCGUCAUUUGGAUUGUAAUUUUUUUCUUUCCAUUUUGAGAAAAAUAACUAUGACAUAAGAAACACCUUUGAAAUAAAAUUUGAAUGAUACAUAAGGCAUUGAUUUUAAGUAAAUAGUUCAGAAGAAAUAAUAUAUUAAAAUAAAUUUGACUAGGAAUAUGAUGCAUUAGAAACAAGCGGGUCCUAAUAUACUGCCCUGGGGCACUCCAUAAACGACAAGGGCAUCCUUACUAACAAUGCUUCCUAUUUUAACUUGCUAUGUAUGACUGACCAGGAAGUCACUGAAGAUCAUGUGGGCCUUUCCCCACAAUAUGCAUUAAUAUAAAUUGUAAUUUAAUUAAAUAACAUGUAUUUCAGGAUAAAGAGUACUUACUGAUGAAAGGAAAUACCAGGAUUAUGAGCUCCAACUUUAUUUGUGGCGUUUGAACAAUUAAUUCUCGGCUUAUCUCUUUCCGCAUUUAUAUAAUAAAUUAGUAAAAAUCUGCUACAUAAGGCAUUGUAACUUAACUGAAGCAAAAAGGCAUAUCCAUCCCCUACUAUUUUCUUGGAACUACCUAUAUGAUGACUCAGAGGAUAUUUUGAAAUGACUGCAGUAGAUGACAAUAUUCAAUUGCGUCUGAUCCCAAAAGAUGAAUAACUCACAAACACAGAGGUUGAGGUAUACUACUACUACUACUACUUUUCUUCUCUACUGUUUUCUCUCAAAUUCCGUAGUUAUUCACACGCACAUAUUCAUACAUACAUAAAGGGAAAUGCAGGGAAAAACCCGCGUGUCAUCGGUCCAACUUACUACGAGCGACUACCCCAAGACUUAAAAGACGAGCCCUUUAAUGAAAAAUUUAAGAGCCGUUUGAGAAACUUUUUAUUGGAUAACCCACUGUAUUCUAUGAAAGAGUUUUAUGACAUUACCAAUUACAUUUAUUUAAAUAGUAAGCAUAUUGUCGACAUCUGUAUUAUAAGAUUUACUAUAAUUUACUUCUUUGUUAGCUUAACAACGACCCUAAUGGUGACAUUAUUUCUUAUGCUGACAUUAUUUCUGUAACUGUAACUAUUCAUUGUCUACCUUAAUGACGACCCGUUCUUGGUGAAUUUAUUUAUACAAUUGAAAUGUAAAAACAUUAUUAAUUUUAAAUGAAUUAUUAAUUGUCACAUGUUUUUCCUAUGUAUAUAAAGUAAGACAAACCGACAAUCACAAUAUAAAUUCCUAAGAAUUUACCACGCGUAGUUUUAAGUGAAAUUGUAUAUUGUGAGAUAAAUAAAUCAUAUCAUAUCAUA